UGCUAUGUGGCGAAAUGGUAACGCAGCAUUCCCAUUAAAAAUGGCAUAUGUAUAUCGUGGGUUCGACCCCCACCAUAGCAC
rfam:Pasteurella multocida subsp. multocida str. Anand1_buffalo contig1931, whole genome shotgun sequence.